UGAGAAGGAAGGCCAGCCGCCCAGGUGUUCCCGAGUUCUAGGCACCCACCCUCUUCCCAUAGGUGCGGGCCCCGGCAGAGACCCCAGGCAGGCUAUGAGUCUGUGCAUGCAAGGUGGACUCCACCCCAUCCCCAGCCCCCUGUGGAGGUCUGGGCCCAGCUUGGCUUCUCUCUGGGGACCAGGCUGGCACUUACUGAGUGGGCACCAGUCAAGCCCACUCCCCUCAGCCUCCAGUCCCAUAGUCUGCAGGGGAAGCCACUGUGGAAUCCUCCCUGGGCCUCCCAGGCAGCAGGGUUUCCAAGAACACAGAGAUGGGGUUGUGGCCAGGUGGCCUUGGACAAACCCUCUGCUGACUCUGGGCUCAGGUCCCCAUCUGUGCACUGGGACUGGUGUCGGCAGGACUCAGGAGGGGUUCUUGACCCUCAGUGAUACUAUGACCCUAUUUGGUUUACCCAUUAGGUUGCUGUCCCUGGGUCAUACUCUCCAGAUCUUUAGGGCCUGUGUCCCAGUGGAGUGGCCCACUGUCCUUGGUGGGGCUAAUGACAUACAGAAUGGGAUGUGGGCAAGGCCUGCCCCAGGGGCUGCCAGAGCCGAGGCCUGCAGAGAAACCCAAGGAGUGUCCGGGGGGCCCCCCCAGGGGCAGAGGGGAAAGCUUGGGAGCAGGCAGGGGCAGAGUCACUGCAGCCCCACUGGGAGGUGAGAGCUGGCCUGGGUUGGUCCUGGCUGCCCUCCCUCAGGGCUGGGGCCAGGGCCUCCCAGGCAGAGGAUGCAGCUGUGUGGACCGGGCCCUCUAACACCACGCUGGGUCCUUGUGACCAGGAAACUGAGGCCGAGGCCACCUGGAGAGGUGAAGGUAGGGUGAACUCCGGAGGCGGGGAGGGGAAAGCUUGUUGGAACCAGUGAAUCGGGAUCAGGAUGUCUCCUCCGAGGGCCAAGAGCUGAGCCUAGACCCACUGCAGGCUGGACCCCAGGCUGCCCUGCUCUUGCAUGGUCUCGGGGUGGCCCUGGGUGGGGACCAGGCACUCGCUCCUUGGCAGGGUGGGCUCACCAGUCAACACAAAGCAAGUGCAUCACGGUCAAGGCUCUGUGGGCCCGGCCUGGUGCACAGGGACCCAGUGCAGGGAGAGAGGGGAGGAUCUGGAGACAGAGGGGGAUUUGGAGACCGGGGCCUGCCCUCAGGAAGCUCUCAGGCUGGAAGGAAUUAGUCAUACAGGGAGCACUGAGGGAGUUUCACCCAUCAGUAUUUUUGGACUCAGGGAAAUUUUUAGUCACCUAAAAAUUAGGAGGGGAAGAAAGAGGCCAUCCUGCUCCUUCCCCCUAGUGCUGUUCCGUCAGCUUCUCCCAGCACCUGAUAGUCAGCUGUUCCUUCUCUGGGUCAAGGCGUAGUCCCAGGCAGGCCCCUGUGAGAAUGGAGUGGGGUGAUGUCCUCGGGGAAGCACCAGAUUGAGAUAGGAGUCAACGACCGUCCCCCCACCCCCAGUUCCUGCAGACUUCGCUGCAGGAGGUGGGCUCCGAGCUGACCCAGAUGCGGCCUAAGCUCGAGAAAGCCUGGGACGUGCUGAAAGCUCAAGCCUCAAAGCUGGAGGCUCAGCAGCUGGCCCUGGAGGGUGCCCAGAACCAGGGGCUCAACUCACCCCCACCUCUGUGCCGCUGCCAGGCCUGCAUGCCCAACGAGGGACCCACAGUCUCCCCUGCCCAUUCCUGGUCACACUGUGGCCACUGGCUUUCCCUUCUUCGACUCCCUAGUCAAGUCCCUCCCAAGCCCUCACUGCCCCCUUUCCGACAGGGCUGAAGCCCUCGAAUGUGCUCACUGCCUCUCCCCACUCCCCCUCAAGGUGGCAGAGAGCCUUGCUGAGAAGCUGAGGCUGGAGCAGGAGCUGGUGGGAAAGUGAGGACCAUGGGGGGGGUGGUGAGGGGCACCCGGAUCUGAGGGGCUCUGGGGGAGAAACCCCCCUCCCUCACAGAGAUGCUCACCAGGCCCCACAGCUCUUCCCCUGCCCCUGAGAAUCUGGGGCAGGUGGCAGGGGGCGUUUGGGGACACGCUGUUAAGUGAGCCCUCUCAUCCCCUUGGGGGAUAGUGAUGGGCCUGGGGCCUGAUGUAUCGCCCUGUCUGCCUUCUCUUCUCUGAAAAGGGGAAUCUAGGGGAAGAAGCAGGAGGGAGCGUGGCUAAGUGGGUUCUGGGGGCACAGAGAGUCAGGAUGUCUGGGUUCCUGGGCCUGGCGCCAGAGAUUGAAGGAGAGUGGCCUUCAGAGCUGAAAAGUCCUGUGCUCGAGUCAGCUUCUCCACCAACCAACUAGGUGAGUAUGAGCAGGUGUGCCUUCUCUAAGCCUCAGUUUCCUCAUCUGCAAAAUGGGGGUACUGACAGUACCUACCUCAAAGGACGAUGUGAGGAUUACACGAGACAGUGCAUGGAGCACAGUGCCUGUUUCCAGUCCCCCUAAGCUUCCUGAUACCUGGGGUCCAGUUUGGGUGAGUCAGUAUUAAAGCCAUAAAACCACAGAGAUGUGCCCAAGACCAACUGUGUAUGGGGCUUCAGUCACAAAGUCUAUCCAUUGUUCCACCAACAAGGCAUUGUCUACACUUCUUAUUAAGCUCAGGAAACAAUCUGAUACAAUGUGCAGCCACCAGUGACAGACAAUGCCCACGACCAGGAGCUUGAAUACUGUUAGUGCUUGGAUUCUAUUUCACUCUGACCAAGGGCCUCAUCUUUAUGACCCUGCGUGGAGGAGCUGGACGGGGUGGGGGAUCCUGUCUUUUGCCUCAGCUGCUCUCUGGGGAUCCCGAGGGAAGCGGGGCAGAUCUGUCAGUGGACCCUCAGGCUGGGAACUGUGUCCACAGGGAACAGGAGCUGGUGCAGCUCCAAGCAUCAAGGGCUCCAGUGCCGGGAGGACAGGAGCCUCCAUCCGCCUCUCAACUGAAGAUCGUAGCCACAGCCCUGGAACCAGAGGAAAGGAGCAUCUGAGAAGCAGCCAGGGGCAGUGCCCAGGCUGGGGAAGAAAGGUGGCGUGGAGACUGAGGCCCAGAGCCACGAGGGAACAGAUUCACAGCCUCGCUCUGCAGCACAAGAGACUGAGGUCAGCCCCUGGCCCAGCCCCAGGGAGCCGGGCAGUCCUGGCACAGAGGGCCUGGAUCAAUAGGCCUCAGGAAACCAACUCUGUCAGCUGGGCCACAUGCCGCCCAGAACCAUCCUCGAUGCUGUCACUGAACACUCCCCCCAUCUACUGCCUUAAGUGAAGCAGGGUUUUGCAGAGGGGGACUCUGGCAGGGCGAUGGGACAGAACAUCUUUGGGGUUGUUUCUCCAGCAUCGUCCUCCACAAAAUGUCCUCUGCCCUCCCUGCCAUAUACAGGCUACUGUGGGGGCUGUCAAGUUCUCAACUGAUUGGUCCAGCACUGGGUGCUGAACCCAACUGAACCAAUGGUCCCCUUCCUGGGGUCACUGGACUUAGGACAAAAGAGUAAUCUUUCCUGGGCUGAAAACUGGACACAUAAAACUGGGGAGCUGUGAACCGCCGUUUUUCUCUGGGGAAAAAGGUGUAUUUCAGUAAGAGUAAAUGGAGCUGACAAUUCCCAGAAACUGAAAUUGGGAUGGAGAGAUUUUGGUUCAGCCCAGGGGGUCUCAUGCAUGCAGAAGACAUAAAGUUGACCUUUCGGAUGGUCAUCUCACCUUGCUCUGUAGCUCAGGCGUCAGGCUGAGCUGGUCUUCAGGAGGGGAGGAAUACCUUCCACGGGCAGCGCU